UGUGGGGUACAGUUGCCAUGCGGUGCUGCCUGCGUUUCUGAGUCUGGUGUCUCCUUUGCAGAUCUGUGAUGAGCUGGGAGUGAAGCGGCCCUCCUCUGUGAAAGUGUUCUCAGGCAAAAGUGAACGCAGCUCCUCUGGGCUGCUGGAGUGGGAAUCCAAGAGCGAUGCCCUGGAGACGCUGGGCUUCCUGAACCAUUACCAGAUGAAAAACCCAAAUGGGCCAUACCCUUACACCCUGAAGUUGUGUUUCUCCACUGUCCAGCACGCCUCCUAAUUAGGUGCCCAGGAAGAGUCCCAUCUGAGCAGGAGAACAUUUUUCCUUUAUGCUGUUUU